UUAUUUUAUGAAAAAACAAAAUAUCAUAAUGUUUUGAAAUUGAUAAUUAUUUAGAUAGUCAUAACUAUUUGAACUUGUUCGGUAAAUAGAUUCAUUUUUUUAAAUUUUCUUACUCAUUAAAUUAAUAUUUUUUAUUUUAAAUAAGCUUAUAUUAACUGAAUCAAUUGUUUUAUUACAAAACAAAAGGUCACGAUGAUUUGAAAUAGAUAAUUAUUCAAAUAAUCAUACCUAUUUGAA
rnacentral:lncRNA from 1 species